UGUACAUCUUUGAACAAGAGUCUUUCAAAAUCGUGACAUUCGAACAGACACCAAAAUGUUAGUGUACAAGGCAGUGGUGAUUCCAACGCUCCAGUAUGCAUCAGAAACCUGGACACCAUACCAACGCCAUCUGAAAACACCUGGAAAGUUCCAUCAACGAUGUCUUUGAAGCACCUUAAAUAUCAGUUGUGAAGACAGA